rnacentral:rRNA from 1 species
ACGGGGGGGCAAGCGUUGUCCGGAAUUACUGGGCGUAAAGGGCGCGUAGGCGGCUCGCUAAGUUGGAUGUGAAAACUCUGGGCUCAACCCAGAGCCUGCAUUCAAAACUGACGGGCUAAAGUUCUGGAGGGGAAAGCGGAAUUCCUGGUGUAGCGGUGAAAUGCGUAGAUAUCAGGAGGAACACCGGUGGCGAAGGCGGCUUUCUGGACAGAAACUGACGCUGAUGCGCGAAAGCUAGGGGAGCAAACAGGA